rnacentral:rRNA from 1 species
UACAGAGGGUGCUAGCGUUGUUCGGAAUCAUUGGGCGGAAAGGGCGUGUAGGCGGUUUGUUAAGUCAUGUGUGAAAUCCCUCGGCUCAACCGGGGAACGACGCAUGAAACUGGCAAGCUAGAGUACCAAAGAGGGGGGUGGAAUUCCCGGUGUAGCGGUGAAAUGCGUAGAUAUCGUAAGGAAGACCAGUGGCGAAGGCGGGUCUCUGGACAGUUCCUGACGCUGAGGCACGAAGGCCAGGGGAGCAAACGGG